rnacentral:rRNA from 1 species
GUAGGGAAUAUUGGACAAUGGGGGAAACCCUGAUGGUGCAACACCGCGUGGAGGAUGAAGGUCUUCGGAUUGUAAACUCCUGUCAUCCGGGAGCAAGACCUGGGCGUGAAUAGUGCACAGGUUUGAUAGUACCGGAAGAGGAAGGGACGGCUAACUUCGUGCCAGCAGCCGCGGUAAUACGAAGGUCCCAAGCGUUGUUCGGAAUCACUGGGCGUAAAGGGUGCGUAGGCGGCGUGGUAAGUCAGAUGUGAAAUCCCGGGGCUCAACCUCGGAACUGCAUCCGAUACUGCCAUGCUUGAGGGCUGGAGAGGUAACUGGAAUUCUCGGUGUAGCAGUGAAAUGCGUGGAUAUCGAGAGGAACACUCGUGGCGAAGGCGAGUUACUGGACAGCAUCUGACGCUGAGGCACGAAGGCCAGGGGAGCGAAAGGGAUUAGAAACCCCGGUAGUCC